CCACUUGGAGAUGAGGAGUUCAUCACCUACGUUUUGGAUGGACUUGAUGAGGACUAUGACCCACUCGUUGCUGUUAUUAACAAUCGCACUACUCUUAUCCCCAUACGUGAUCUAUAUGCUCAGCUCUUGAGUACAGAGC